CCUACGGGUGGCUGCAGUGGGGAAUAUUGGACAAUGGGCGAAAGCCUGAUCCAGCCAUGCCGCGUGUGUGAAGAAGGCCUUCGGGUUGUAAAGCACUUUCAGUGGGGAAGAAAGCCUUGGGGCUAAUACCCUCGAGGAAGGACAUCACCCACAGAAGAAGCACCGGCUAACUCCGUGCCAGCAGCCGCGGUAAUACGGAGGGUGCGAGCGUUAAUCGGAAUUACUGGGCGUAAAGCGCGCGUAGGCGGUCUGAUAAGCCGGUUGUGAAAGCCCCGGGCUCAACCUGGGAACGGCAUCCGGAACUGUCAGGCUAGAGUGCAGGAGAGGAAGGUAGAAUUCCCGGUGUAGCGGUGAAAUGCGUAGAGAUCGGGAGGAAUACCAGUGGCGAAGGCGGCCUUCUGGACUGACACUGACGCUGAGGUGCGAAAGCGUGGGUAGCAAACAGGAUUAGAUAACCCGGUAGUC
rnacentral:rRNA from 1 species